rnacentral:rRNA from 1 species
UUUUUAGAGAGUUUGAUCCUGGCUCAGGACGAACGCUGGCGGCGUGCCUAACACAUGCAAGUCGAACGGAGUUUUACGCUGAAUUGAAGGUA